rnacentral:piRNA from 1 species
UACUCCAGGAGAGCAUGAAUAUGGAU